UCUUCCGACCACUCAAAGCGCUUUACACUACAUGUCAGUAUUCACCCAUUCACACACACAUUCACACACUGAUGUCAGAGGCUACUGAGGUGCCAAUUUUGCACAUCAGGAUCUAAUCUAAAUACUCACUUUACAAUACAUUGAGAGCACACCGGACAACCGGACACUGUCUCAAAUAUAUGACUGGAUGGUGAGAUCCAUCCCCUAGUUCAAAGACAAAGGAGACAGCAACAGCUCUGCAGGAUGGAAGGGUUAAUGAGUGGAGAUCCAGACCCCCAGCAUGGACACGAGCUUUGAGAGCACAGCAGAGGCCACUGAGUAUUUCAUCUCAUAAAACAUUGAAGACAAAAA